rnacentral:rRNA from 1 species
AUACGGAGGAUGCAAGCGUUAUCCGGAUUUAUUGGGUUUAAAGGGUGCGUAGGCGGUUUUAUAAGUCAGUGGUGAAAUACUGGAGCUUAACUUUAGCAUUGCCAUUGAAACUGUAAGACUUGAGUUUGGUUGAGGUAUGCGGAAUGUGUAGUGUAGCGGUGAAAUGCAUAGAUAUUACACAGAACACCGAUUGCGAAGGCAGCAUACUAAGCCAAUACAGACGCUGAGGCACGAAAGCGUGGGGAUCGAACAGGAUUAGAUACCCUGGUAGUCCACGCCGUAAACGAUGCUCACUCGUUGUUGGCGAUACACAGUCAGCGACUAAGCGAAAGUGAUAAGUGAGCCACCUGGGGAGUACGCUCGCAAGGGUGAA